rnacentral:lncRNA from 1 species
GACGAUUUGGUGACACUGGAAACACUGGUUUAUGAAGCAGGCUGUGACUUCACCCUCACUCUGAAAGACCUGCAACAGAUGAAAGACUUUGAGAAGCUGAGAUUACUGAUGGAGCGUUGUUCUGAGGACAACUACGUGACCAGUGCCUACCAGUGGAUGGUUCCUUUUCUCCACCGCUGUGAGAAACAGUCUGCUGGUGCGGCCAACGAGCUACUAAGAGAAUAUCUAGUAACUUUAGCUAAGGGAGACUUGAAACUUCCCUUGAAGAUAUUUCAGCAUUCUAAACCAGAUGUAAGUAGCA